AAACGCCAAAUACCGCCUUCUCUUCUCCAUUCUCCAUCAUUCCAACACACCAAACCACAUCUCUCACUGCUUCCACCAAAUCAGAUGGCUCGUUCCCUCUUUCUCUCUCUAAACAAAUCCAUCUCCAUCGUCCAUCUCCACCCCCGCCACAAGCAUCACCUCCUUCCCCUCAGCCCAUCGUCCCGCCUCGUAUCUCUCCGCACUCAAUCCAACCAACCCGACCUCUCUGACCUUUCCACUUCUUCCGACUCCACCACAGACCCUUUGCUCUCCAAGCUCGAGGACGCCAUCCACCUCAUCAUUGUGCGCCGCUCCGCACCCGAUUGGCUCCCCUUUUUGCCCGGAUAUUCGUACUGGGUCCCUCCCAAAUCCCAAUUCCACGGUGUGGCUCAAUUGGUUGAGAAAUUGGCCAACCCGUUGACGCCCGAACAAGCUAUGUUCACUAACAGUGUUCGAGGCUGGCCCUCGUCGGAUUAUUUUGUUAAAGGUGCAUCUUUACAUCCAGUGGAAGAAGACACGAAUUCCACUAAUGUAUCUCAAUCUGAAGAUGAAGAGGGGUGAAUAACUCGUUUUAGCAUAUCUGGCAUCUGGGUGAGGAAGAUUAUGAUUUUGCACCCAUCAGAACUGUAAAUUUAUGUAGAACCGAGAAUGGAAAGCAUAAAAAAACCUGCAUCGACAGACUUCCGAGCAGCAAUCCUGCAACUUGGGUCGGGAUGAUAACUUAUUUCCCAAUGUUCACUGCUUGAAAUGACCUUAUAUCACUCCUUAUGUAGUUUGCCAUUGCAUUGUAUGUCAUAAUUGUAGUAUUUAUAGAUUUUAGAUAUCCCAGUUGAGCUGCUGGGUUAUCUUUCAUCUGAUGAUAUAUAGUUAUUUGACAUUUCUCAA